rnacentral:rRNA from 1 species
CCUACGGGUGGCUGCAGUGGGGAAUAUUGGACAAUGGGGGGAACCCUGAUCCAGCCAUGCCGCGUGUGUGAAGAAUGCCCUCGGUUUGUAAAGCACUUUCAGUGAGGAAGAACGCCUGGUGGUUAAUACCCAUCAGGAAAGACAUCACUCACAGAAGAAGCAACGGCUAACUCCGGGCCAGCAGCCGCGGUAAUACGGAGGGUGCGAGCGUUAAUCGGAAUUACUGGGCGUAAAGCGCGCGUAGGUGGCUUGAUAAGCCGGUUGUGAAAGCCCCGGGCUCAACCUGGGAACGGCAUCCGGAACUGUCAAGCUAGAGUGCAGGAGAGGAAGGUAGAAUUCCCGGUGUAGCGGUGAAACGCGUAGAGAUCGGGAGGAAUACCAGUGGCGAAGGCGGCCUUCUGGACUGACACUGACACUGAGGUGCGAAAGCGUGGGUAGCAAACAGGAUUAGAUACUCUAGUAGUC